rnacentral:tRNA from 1 species
GUGGGCGUAGCUCAGUCGGUUAGAGCGCCGGAUUGUGGUUCCGGAGGUCGCCGGUUCGAAUCCGGUCGUCCACC